AGAAACUUGUGUAUUAACAAAACAAAAUGGUUAAUAUAAAUUCUCUACGAAGUGCUUUCAAGUAUAUAGUCGUUCCUGCAUUGGUACUACUUGGAGCUCAAAAAGUGAUACAAUUCCAGGAUAGGGAUUACGUUGGAUACUUGGAGGAUGUCCUUUGCAGCACCCAUGACAAGAUAGCAGAAAUCUCGGAUUGGAUUGAUAGUUUUCUACCCGAGUCAUUAUACAAUGAUGUGGGACUUGGGGAUACUUUUUCGGGCGAAGAUAACGUGCGACCCUUGUUCUUCAUGCCCGCGAAUGAAAAUCAUAGUGCCUUAUCCCCUGGAAGUUACACAUCAUUGACUCAUUUCUCAUCAUCCAUGAGGCCCCGAAGAUGGAGACCCUCAAAUAUACUAUAUCGCGUUGGAGAGCUGAUUUAUCAUAAAUCCAUGGACAUUUACUGCGUCAUUGUGGGAUGGGAUAAAACGGCAAAAGCACCCUCAGAUUGGUUAGAUAAAGUGUAUAAAGACUCCAAGGAGGAAAAGAUUAAAGAAGUACACUACAUGAACGUAUGUGGCUCAGAAGGGAAAGGAGAAAGUAUUUUGAUGUAUUUGUCCCAGGAUGAAGUCUCUAAAAUUGAGGAAAUCCCCAAUAAUAUCAAACUCAAGCUAACGCUCCUCCAGUCUCAUUUUGAUAUCAAGUCAGAGUCUGAGUUUCAAGCCAUGGACCCUCCAUAUCCCUUAAGACCCUGGCUCAGAAAACUAUAUCCUAUGGAUUAGUAGCUUGGGGGGAGGGAAACCUGUUGUUAUUGUUGAUUGAGCUUAGUUUAAAUUUUAUAGCAAAGAUAUUUAUAGAUAUGGGUGAUUACAGCUAGUUUUCAAUGAACAACCAAAGAAUGGAUAUCACAAAUAAACAUAAACAUGUCAUCAUGUAUAAACAAGACACUUUGAUGCAGAGAAGAAAAUAAAUAAAACUUUCUUGAUAAUCUA
rnacentral:misc_RNA from 1 species